UACGAGGGGGGCAAAUGUUGUUCGGAAUCACUGGGCGUAAAGGGAGCGUAGGCGGGGUCUUUAAGUUAGGUGUUUAAUCCCGGGGCCCAACCCCGGACCGGCAUUUAAAACUGGGACUCUUGAAUAGUGGAGAGGUCGGUGGAAUUGGAGGUGUAGCGGUGGAAUGCGUAGAGAUCUCCAAGAACACCAGUUGCGAAGGCGGCCGACUGGACACAUAUUGACGCUGAGGCUCGAAAGCAUGGGGAGCAAACAGG
rnacentral:rRNA from 1 species